rnacentral:rRNA from 1 species
CCUACGGGCGACAGCAGUGAGGAAUAUUGGUCAAUGGGCGCGAGCCUGAACCAGCCAAGUCGCGUGAGGGAGGACGGCCCUACGGGUUGUAAACCUCUUUUGCCGGGGAGCAACGGGCACCACGUGUGGCGUCACUGAGAGUACCCGGAGAAAAAGCAUCGGCUAACUCCGUGCCAGCAGCCGCGGUAAUACGGAGGAUGCGAGCGUUGUCCGGAAUCACUGGGCGUAAAGGGCGCGUAGGCGGUAAUAUAAGUCAGAUGUGAAAGGUGGGGGCUCAACCCCUAGAGUGCAACUGAUACUGUAUAACUUGAGUGUGAGAGAGGGAAGCGGAAUUCCUAGUGUAGCGGUGAAAUGCGUAGAUAUUAGGAGGAACACCAGUGGCGAAGGCGGCUUUCUGGCUCAUAACUGACGCUGAGGCGCGAAAGCGUGGGGAGCAAACAGGAUUAGAUACCCGAGUAGUC